GGUUUCUCUAUAAAACCCUAGUAUAUGCAUCUCUUCCUCAUUCAUCCCAUCUACAACACACAGCCUCAAUUUCUGCAUGUAGCAACCCGGGCUCCUCUGAAAUUUCUCAUAUGAAGAAAGAAGUCCCAAAGCUCGUGCGAUAACGACGCCGUUUAGUGUUGCAGAUUUGCCGCUGUACCAUUCUCACGGCCUAUUUGUGUCAAAACAACGGCAACACUCAUUCAUCCGCGCUCGUAAUUUCUCUAUUUGUUUUUGUUUCUUUUUUAAAAUAAUUGGAUUGCCUCACCACACCUUUAGCUUGUUUUCUGAAAAUUUCAAUGAAAAAUCGAGCUAGUCAUAGAGGCAUAGAUUUAGCGGCUUUCACGUGGGGGUUUACAUUUUUCAAUUGUUGUACCUCUAAAAAUGUCCGCUAUAUUUGAUGCACUAUUCCAGAAUUUUCGAAAUUAGGUAUUGGCAAUGAUUAAAAGAUUAUCCGCGCUUCUGAGAUUUCCAAUCGAUGAAGUAGAUUGAUAAUAAUGGUUGAAUUUCUUAAUAUGAGCCAAUUAAUUGAUUCAUUUCUUUUACUUAUAUAAUCUGUGGUUAUGAUGAUUUUUAAUCAGCUUAACGCCAGUUCUGCUUCAGAAAAUUCUUGAUCGAUAGAGCUGUAUAAUUAUCUGAACCUUGUUGAUUCUCUAAUUUAUUUAUUUUUAGGAAGCUAGUUUUUAAACCCUUUUAUAUCAGUGCUUCCUUUGAUUUGAUUCAGUGAUGAAAUUUCCAAUUUUGAGGUGUUGUGAUGUUGAGACCCUGUUUACAGGGGGAACCCCUUGAUGUUGCUUCAUCUUUCCAUGAAAACUUGGAAAUAUCUGAGAUUCAAUCAAACUAACUCGGUUUAUUUGAUUUAUUAAGACUUUCUUUUUGAAUAAAGUUGAUGCCUGUGAUGGUUGUUGGAUAGUAUAUGAGGCGUAGUGAAGCCGAGUUCUGCUUAUGCAGUUGAACCUCUCUGUGGAUCUAUGUUUAAAUUGAUUAUAAUUAACGUGCUGAGGCUAUUUAUGAUUUGUUUAUGUAAAGAUUGUUUAUGAUUUGUUUAGACACUGAGUUUCACUAUACCCUCUUUCUUGGUUUUUUAAAAUCUUAUUGAUAGAGGGUCUGAAAAACUCGUAUAUCAAAUGUGUUGUCAUCAGCUUCUUCUUUCGAUUUUGCAACGAGACUGGAGUUAAAUAACAGCACCAGAUUAUUCUGUAAAGUUUCUAUUUUCAGUUUUGAUAGUGUUUUGAUUUAAUUUUGUUUCUAUUGUGUUUGGAUUUAAUUUUUAUGAGAUGAAAUUAAUGAUUCUUUGUACGUUUAGAUAUUGAGUUUUACUAUAUCUCUACCUUGGUUUAUUUAAAUCUUGUAGGUUGAAGGUCUGAAAAAUUCGCACAUCAAAGCUGUUGUCAUCAGCUUCUUUUCUCGAAUUUGCAACGAAACUGGAGUUAAAUAACAGCACUAGAUUAUUCUAAUCUCCUAUUUUUAUCUUCGAAGGAUAUCAUUUUAAAUCUUGAUAUCAUUUUGUUUUUGUUUCAGAAUUAGUGUUGCUUGUUUAUUUGUCCUAGUAUCUUAUUAUAUUGUUGGAUCUUGUAUUUGUAUUUUAUGAAUUAGUGGUGAUUGUAUUUCUGCUGUU